rnacentral:rRNA from 1 species
AUUGAACGCUGGCGACAGGCCUAACACAUGCAAGUCGAGCGGAUGAAGGGAGCUGGCUCCUGGAUUCAGCGGCGGACGGGUGAGUAAUGCGUAGGAAUCUGCCUGGUAGCGGGGGAUAACGUGCGGAAACGGGCGCUAAUACCGCAUACGUCCUGAGGGAGAAAGUGGGGGAGCUUCGGACCUCACGCUAUCAGAUGAGCCUAGGUCGGAUGAGCUAGUUGGUGGGGUAAAGGCCUACCAAGGCGACGAUCCGGAACUGGUCUGAGGGGAUGAGCAGUCACACUGGAGCUGGUACACGGUCCUGACUCCUACGGGCGGCAGCAGUGGGGACUGUUGGACGAUGGGCGGAAGCCUGCUCCAGCCGUGCCGCGUGUGUGCAGAAGCUCUUCGGAUUGUAUAGCACUUUACGUUGGGAGGACGGGCAGUAAGUUAAUACCUUGCUGUUUUGACGUUACCAACAGAAUAAGCACCGGCUAACUUCGUG